GAUGAACGCUAGCGGCGUGGAUAAGGCAUGCAAGUCGAGGGGUUCUCGUUUCGGCGGGGACACCGGCAAACGGGUUAGUAACACGUAGAUACAUACCAUUCACACGGGCAUAAUCUGCCGAAAGGCAGACUAAUUCCCGAUAGUCCCUCCCUCGGGCGGGUAAAGGUUUCGAGUAAUCGAUUCCGGUGGAUGAAUGGUCUGCGGCUUAUCAGCUUGUUGGUGAGGUAAUGGCUCACCAAGGCAAUGACGGGUAGGGGAUAUGAGAGUGUGUUCCCCAACAAGGGCACUGCGACACGGGCCCUACUCCUACGGGAGGCAGCAGUCGAGAAUAAUUCGCAAUGGGCGAAAGCCUGACGAUGCGACGCCGCGUGCUCGAAGAAUCCCUUCGGGGUGUAAAGAGCUUUUCUGGAGGAAGAAUCUGCCUUUGGCAGAUGACGGUACUCCAGGAAUAAGGAGAUGCUAAUCACGUGCCAGCAGCAGCGGUAAUACGUGAUCUCCAAGCGUUAUCCGGAUUUAUUGGGCGUAAAGCGUUCGUAGGCGAUUAGAUAAGUCUCUGGUUAAAGCCCCAUGGCUCAACUAUGGGAAUGCCAGAGAUACUAUCUGAAUAGAGGGCGUUAGAGGCUGAUGGAACGGUCGGUGUAGGGGUGAAA
rnacentral:rRNA from 1 species